AGAGUUUGAUCCUGGCUCAGAGCGAACGCUGGCGGCAGGCCUAACACAUGCAAGUCGAACGGACCUUUCGGGGUUAGUGGCGGACGGGUGAGUAACACGUGGGAACGUGCCUUUUGGUUCGGAAUAGCUCCUGGAAACGGGUGGUAAUGCCGAAUGUGCCCUUCGGGGGAAAGAUUUAUCGCCAUUAGAGCGGCCCGCGUCUGAUUAGCUAGUUGGUGAGGUAAAGGCUCACCAAGGCUACGAUCAGUAGCUGGUCUGAGAGGAUGACCAGCCACAUUGGGACUGAGACACGGCCCAAACUCCUACGGGAGGCAGCAGUGGGGAAUCUUGCGCAAUGGGCGAAAGCCUGACGCAGCCAUGCCGCGUGAAUGAUGAAGGUCUUAGGAUUGUAAAAUUCUUUCACCGGGGACGAUAAUGACGGUACCCGGAGAAGAAGCCCCGGCUAACUUCGUG
rnacentral:rRNA from 1 species